UUCUGGCCGGCCUGAAUCGUUGCUCAACCUGUAUUUUAAUUUACGAGGUGAGCAAAGUUUCAGGUGUGUCAGCAU
rnacentral:pre_miRNA from 1 species